rnacentral:rRNA from 1 species
CCUACGGGUGGCAGCAGUGGGGAAUAUUGGACAAUGGGCGAAAGCCUGAUCCAGCCAUGCCGCGUGUGUGAAGAAGGCCUUCGGGUUGUAAAGCACUUUCAGUGGGGAAGAAAGCCUUGGGGCUAAUACCCUCGAGGAAGGACAUCACCCACAGAAGAAGCACCGGCUAACUCCGUGCCAGCAGCCGCGGUAAUACGGAGGGUGCGAGCGUUAAUCGGAAUUACUGGGCGUAAAGCGCGCGUAGGCGGUCUGAUAAGCCGGUUGUGAAAGCCCCGGGCUCAACCUGGGAACGGCAUCCGGAACUGUCAGGCUAGAGUGCAGGAGAGGAAGGUAGAAUUCCCGGUGUAGCGGUGAAAUGCGUAGAGAUCGGGAGGAAUACCAGUGGCGAAGGCGGCCUUCUGGACUGACACUGACGCUGAGGUGCGAAAGCGUGGGUAGCAAACAGGAUUAGAUACCCUAGUAGGC